CAGUAGUCACGUAGUUUGAUCUAGUGGCUCAAGAACGAACGCUGGCGGCAUGCCUAACACAUGCAAGUCGAACGAGACCUUCGGGUCUAGUGGCGCACGGGUGCGUAACGCGUGGGAACCUGCCUUUAGGUUCGGAAUAACUCAGAGAAAUUUGAGCUAAUACCGGAUGAUGUCUUCGGACCAAAGAUUUAUCGCCUUUAGAUGGGCCCGCGUAAGAUUAGCUAGUUGGUGGGGUAAAGGCCUACCAAGGCGACGAUCUUUAGCUGGUCUGAGAGGAUGAUCAGCCACACUGGGACUGAGACACGGCCCAGACUCCUACGGGAGGCAGCAGUGGGGAAUAUUGGACAAUGGGCGAAAGCCUGAUCCAGCAAUGCCGCGUGAGUGAUGAAGGCCUUAGGGUUGUAAAGCUCUUUUACCCGAGAUGAUAAUGACAGUAUCGGGAGAAUAAGCUCCGGCUAACUCCGUG
rnacentral:rRNA from 1 species